rnacentral:rRNA from 1 species
AUUCCCCUAGUAACGGCGAGUGAAGCGGGAAGAGCUCAAAUUUGUAAUCUGGCACUUUCAGUGUCCGAGUUGUAAUCUCGAGAAGUGUUUUCCGCGCUGGACCGCAUACAAGUCUGUUGGAAUACAGCGUCAUAGUGGUGAGAACCCCGUAACUGAUGCGGAUGCCCAGUGCUUUGUGAUACACUUUCGAAGAGUCGAGUUGUUUGGGAAUGCAGCUCAAAUUGGGUGGUAAAUUCCAUCUAAAGCUAAAUAUUGGCGAGAGACCGAUAGCGAACAAGUACCGUGAGGGAAAGAUGAAAAGCACUUUGGAAAGAGAGUUAACAGUACGUGAAAUUGUUGGAAGGGAAACGCUUGAAGUCAGACUUGCUAUGUGGAUUUAUUCACUUCGCAGGCCAGCAUCAGUUUCUGGGGGUGGAAAAGGGUUUGGAGAAGGUAGCAACUCCGGUUGUGUUAUAGCUCCUUGCUGGAUUCAUCUUUGGGGACUGAGGAACGCAGCGCGCUUUUUGCAAGGCUCUCGAGCUUUUCGCGCUUAGGAUGCUGGUGGAAUGGCUUUAAACGACCCGUCUUGAAACACGGACCAAGGAGUCUAACAUGCUUGCGAGUGUUUGGGUGUCAAACCCGGACGCGCAAUGAAAGUGAAUGGAGGUGGGAUCCGCAAGGUGCACCAUCGACCGAUCUGGAUUUUCUAAGAUGGAUUUGAGUAAGAGCAAUUAUGUUGGGACCCGAAAGAUGGUGAACUAUGCCUGAAUAGGGCGAAGCCAGAGGAAACUCUGGUGGAGGCUCGUAGCGGUUCUGACGUGCAAAUCGAUCGUCAAAUUUGGGUAUAGGGGCGAAAGACUAAUCGAACCAUCUAGUAGCUGGUUCCUGCCGAAGUUUCCCUCAGGAUAGCAGAAACUCACAUCAGUUCUAUGAGGUAAAGCGAAUGAUUAGAGGCCUUGGGGUUGAAACAACCUUAACCUAUUCUCAAACUUUAAAUAUGUAGGAAGACCUUGCUACUUAAUUGAGCGAGGUCAUGCGAAGAG